UGGGGAAUAUUGGGCAAUGGGCGCAAGCCUGACCCAGCAACGCCGCGUGAAGGAAGAAGGCUUUCGGGUUGUAAACUUCUUUUAAGAGGGAAGAGAAGAAGACGGUACCUCUUGAAUAAGCCACGGCUAACUACGUGCCAGCAGCCGCGGUAAUACGUAGGUGGCAAGCGUUGUCCGGAUUUACUGGGUGUAAAGGGCGUGCAGCCGGGAAGACAAGUCAGAUGUGAAAUCCCGCGGCUCAACCGCGGAACUGCAUUUGAAACUGUUUUUCUUGAGUACCGGAGAGGUCAUCGGAAUUCCUUG
rnacentral:rRNA from 1 species